UACGGAGGGUGCGAGCGUUAAUCGGAAUUACUGGGCGUAAAGAGUGCGUAGGUGGUUAAUUAAGUUAUCUGUGAAAUCCCUGGGCUUAACCUGGGCAGGUCAGAUGAUACUGAUUGACUCGAGUAUGGGAGAGGGUAGUGGAAUUUCCGGUGUAGCGGUGAAAUGCGUAGAGAUCGGAAGGAACACCAGUGGCGAAGGCGGCUACCUGGCCUAAUACUGACACUGAGGCACGAAAGCGUGGGGAGCAAACAGG
rnacentral:rRNA from 1 species